rnacentral:misc_RNA from 1 species
GAAAUGCGAUACGUAGUGUGAAUUGCAGAAUUCAGUGAAUCAUCGAAUCUUUGAACGCACAUUGCGCCCUUUGGUAUUCCAAAGGGCAUGCCUGUUCGGGCGUCAUUUGUACCCUCAAGCUUUGCUUGGUGUUGGGCGUUUUUUGUCUUUGGUUGCCAAAGACUCGCCUUAAAAGGAUUGGCAGCCGGCCUACUGGUUUCGCAGCGCAGCACAUUUUUGCGCUUGCAAUCAGCAAAAGAGGACGGCAAUCCAUCAAGACUCCUUCUCACGUUUGACCUCGGAUCAGGUAGGGAUACCCGCUGAACUUAAGC